CGUCAUGGUUGAUUUUGGCGUCACCACAAAAAGAUGUAGGGCCUAUUGUAAAUAUUAGCUAAUCUAGUGUAACGUUAAAGAGUUAAAUAACCUCGUGUUCGUAAUAAUUUUAUGCAUAAUAUGUAUACGUUUUCAGCUGAAAGCAGUCCUAGAAAACGAUAAAGAAAAAAGGUAGGUACAUUUAUGAAAUGUAAACAAGCAUGCCCCGGCCCUGAUGUGUACAUGUACCUAACGUUAUAGCGAUGUUGAGUUGUCUCACUACUGUUAUGUCGCAAGAGGCUGCUUGUUAAAUUAUAGAAUAUUACCUAAAUCAUAUUAAAAAUAAUCUAUUGAUAAUUUGGAUAAUUAUCAAGUUUGUGUUCAAAAAGGAGGGGUUGGUGGUUAUUUAGGAACUCUUCUGUUUCUUGAGGUAAUAAUUUUCGGUUCACUGAAUGGAUGUUGAACCUCGUCUGGCAUUGAUGCAGAGGGUGUUACUAACAGCAUUAGUCAUUUCACCAAUGAUACAGACAAAGAUGCUAAUUUGGUCAUGAAGCUGAAUGUCUUUAAUGACAAAGAGGACCUCUGUCUGUAUGCUGUGAAGAAUAUACAGCCAAGGGAAUAGAUUCAAUACAAUUAUGGAGAUAAAGAGAACCUUUGGUGGAGGAGCAAGUAAUUUCUAAGAUGGCACAACGAGAAGAGAAUGCUGCAGAGGUGUUAGAUUGAGAUGUUGAGCAAAUGGAUUUAGAGCAAUGUUAAGAGAAUGCUGGAGAGGAGUUAGAUGGAGAUGUUGAGCAAGUGGAUCUGGAGCAAGAAGCAGAGAAAGCUGGAGAGUAUGUUUUAGAUGGAGACGUUAAUCAAGUGGAUUUGAAGCAACGUUAAGAGAAUGCUGGAGAGGUGUUAGAUGGAGAUGUUGAGGUAAAACAUGUCUGGAGGGUUACUUGAGCAGAUCUACAUCCUUUUCUUGCACAGUUCUUCAGUUCAGAACAAAGAUCAUGAAUGAAAAGAACAAAAGAAAAAAGAAGCAUUCCAAUCGAUUAAAAAACUUUUUUUUUUAGAUAUUUUAAACCAAAACUUUAAAUCAAAUGCCUUCGUUUACUCCCUUUUAGCUAACCGGAGAUGAAAGCUCAUGUGAGCUUUUCAGAUCACUUUUUUGUAUGGCAUCUGUCUGUCAACUUUCAUAUUUUCAACUUAUUCCCUAGAACCACUUGGCUAAUUUCAACCAAACUUGGCAUGAAGAAACCUUGUGUAAAUGGCAUUCAAAUAUGUUCGAAUGAAGGGUUAAGUCAUAUCUAAA